AUUAAGGUCAAACUUCAAAUCCAAUUCAAAUCAACUUGGAUAAGUCCAAUUGGAUCAUCAUAAGUCUAACAUGGUCAAACAAGGUUUGACAAAUUUUCUCAACAUUUUUUGAAAACAGAAACUAUUUUUAAACAAUUAAAAAUGAAGAAAAAUAACAUAAUUGGACUAAAAUCUCAAAUAAAUCUCAAAUCAAUUAAGAAAUUGAUGAGAAUAUUUU
rnacentral:lncRNA from 1 species